UACGUAGGGGGCAAGCGUUGUCCGGAAUCAUUGGGCGUAAAGAGCGUGUAGGCGGCUUGGUAAGUCCGCUGUGAAAGUCCAGGGCUCAACCCUGGAAUGCCGGUGGAAACUGUCGAGCUAGAGUCCGGAAGAGGCGAGUGGAAUCCUGGUGUAGCGGUGAAAUGCGCAGAUAUCAGGAGGAACACCAAUGGCGAAGGCAGCUCGCUGGGACGGUACUGACGCUGAGACGCGAAAGCGUGGGGAGCAAACAGG
rnacentral:rRNA from 1 species